rnacentral:lncRNA from 1 species
UCCUGAAAAAUAAACACACAUCAAUUCAAGUUCAAUUUGUAAUCAUCGUCGUCAUUAACCAAUUUACAAAUAUCAUCGUCCUCCUAACAAUAUCAAUCCACUCUAAGUGGAUAUUUGAAUUGAUGGUAAGUUUGAAACUCUAAAAUAACAACGCUGUAGCAUUAACUCCAUCAAACCCAACAUGAAUUUUUUUAGUUACAAGUACUCCCUCUGUUUCCAAAUAUAAGUAAAAAUGAGUUAAAUAAAUUUGAUAGAUGUGGUUCAAAAUUACAAUCAAAUACAUUUAUUUUUGUUAACCAACUUUUGCUGAUAGGAGAGUACCGAGUACAUAUGUUAGCAUUUUCUACGGAUAAAACAAGUGAUCCUUGGACAAAAUAAGUGUACCUAACCUUAGUUUGUGUACUAAUUGACACUUGGGUUGAGUUAAUCUUUUUUCUUUUGACUAUGGGUUGAGUUAAUCCUUAAAUAUGGCAAUAUAAUUGUGACUUUGAUAUUCAAUGUGCUACGUAAGUGGAUAACCACACAAAAUUAAUAAAAUUGUGCACGUCAUUCUCACAUUCGAUAAUAUCAUAACUGCUCCAACCAAAAAUACAAACUAAUUAACUUAUCAACCAAGAAAAUAUUAAAAGUAAAAUUUAAAAGUUUGAAAGUUAGGCCAUUCCACGAAAAAGACAAAUAUACCCUGCCCGAAAUUUAGGAGCACCCUUUUACUUUACUGGUUUCUGGUAAUUAGGAGACACUCAAUUUUAACCGUCACAUAAAACAGAGUAACUGUAAUAAUAAGUCAAAAAAGUGAAUAACGACCUUACCAGAAAACGGAGACACCGGAGUAGUUGAACCGGCGGGAGAAGCCGGAGGCGAACCACUUUGGAAUCCCGGCGGUUUCACGAUCAUGAUACUACGUGUUACUCUCGUCACUUGCUCCGACGAUUCCUCACCGUACGAUCUUACGCUUCCGCUUUCCAUUUCUGAUCAAAUCAAUAUCCUUAAACGUUAGAUUAAAAACACCUUUAAGCGUUCCACAUGCAAGAACACUAGAACUAGAAUUUAACCACUUUUUUUUUUUGCACAAUCGUAUAGAUCAUACGAAUUAAUUUCGAUAAUUUCAAAACUCAAGCUUUAUUAGAUUUUCUAAGGUUUCAGAUCUGAAGCUAAAACACAAAUCAAUAUUCAAAGUUUGAAGGUAAACGAGUAUAAGUAGUAGUUUAUAGUAGAUUAUAGUUACAAUAAUAUUAAUCAAUAAUAAAAUUCAGUUGAAUUUUAGCUAGUGAUAAUAGUUGUUGUUCUGGUUAUUUGUGUGACGUAACGAACAUCGCCGGAAAAUUAUAUAUGAGUAGUAAUUAUAAUUAAGGUGGCAGAGUACACAGCGUCGUACCCUUGCCGGAGGCAGAUCGGGCGGCGAAGGUGUUUUGCUUACGGAGUUUACCGAGACCGUUCUCCGGCCGAGGGCCGGCGACGGUAUCGUCCCACAACUGGUCGAGAAGGCCCAUAUUAUGGAUGAGGCGUAUUUUAGCAGAUGCGGCGUAUCUGCGAUCCCAAUUACCAGAUUCCGGUGUAAGAGAUACUACUGAGGCCGAUCCAUGUCUUAUUUAAUGAAGGCUGGAGUUAAAGAUCGAACAACUUUGUGGGGUCCAGAGGAAUCUCAGCCGUUCGUUGUAAUCUAAGUUGGGGCUGGUGAUGUGGCCACUUGGAUCUUUGUUCACGUUGAGAUAAGGAUGGGUUUGCACAUGGGCUUAAACGACUUCGAAACUCCAAGUACUAUUAGUUUAGCAUCUUAACUGUUUUUUAGUCUAUUAUUAUAAGCUUAAUAUAGGUCUUUUUUUUGUAAUCAAGUCUCAUUAAGUAAUAUUAGUAGUCUAAUACAGCAGUACUGCUUUUUUCUUUUACUCCACGAGUACAACUUUAUUACAAAAAUGUUUAGGCAGAAUAUUUGUAAAUACUCUGACGAAUAAGUCGGUGGUUUGAUCGAGAGUAUAUCAGGUUUUAAGGUUUAGAGAAUGUGUAUCUUAACUUGACUCACGAGUUAGGUUUUUCGGGUGAAAUUCAGGGUUACUCGGGUGAAAAUCAUAAUUGGACAAAUGUAUAUAGACAAAUCAUUAUGAUGUGAUUAUUAUCACAUAGUUCUGGAUUGUGUUUAGCCAUUUACGGACUCGCUUUAGUGUGCCUCUAGGGCAUCUUCCAAUCCAUAGCAUGGUCCAUAGUGACCUAUUUUCUUGGUGGAUUGGGCUUGACAUGGUCCAUAAUGUUUUUUUUUUUACAAUAGUCCAUAAUGCAUUAUGCAUAUGAGUUAUCACUUAUAUAUUACUCAAUAUUUGUAUUUUUUACUCAAUGUAUCAUUUAUAACUCGCACUUAGCACACCAACAACAUUCUCAUCAUGUUGCUCUAUAUUUUAAACCGUGAAAAAGUCAAUAACGAUUGUGGUGAAAAUUUAAACUAGCAUAUUCAUGAUUAUAUAAACUCGAAGAGGAGUUUUGCAAGUUUGAACUUUCACAUACUUCAACAUAUCAUAUAUCCACUUUCUUUAUCAUCUCAAUUAUCUUUAUGAAAUAUUCUAAAAACAAUUUUACGACAACGAAACAGGUUUUUUGGUCAUUUAAAACUAUUUUACUCAAAACUAACACUACUAAUAAAGAUAGAAUAACUUGUGUGAAAUUCAAAUCCUUUAAAGUAGGCGUUCAUUUUAAAGAGUAAAGCGAAUAAUAUUAUUCGUUAAUUACAAAUCAAAUAUAUAUUGGUAAAUAAAUAUACCAAACCAUGACUUUAUUAAAAUAACUUUUUUUUUUUACAAAAUUAAAAUAACAAUUUUAAUUUUAUUACAUUUUAAUAAAUUUAGAGGAUCAAAUCCAUUUAUGUGCAUCUCAUCUAGAGUUUUUAAAAGAUAUUAUGCACCGUUAGAAUAAUUAGAGUUGGUAAAGCUCUUAAGUCUAUAAUAUAACUCAUUAUGGUAUAAAAAAUUAACUUAAAAGUUCAUAACUCGAUUUAUACGAAUAUUGUAUUUUUUUUUAAGAAGUUGAAUUAGUUCAUUCAAAUUGACACUAUAGAGAAUCGUACUUGAGACCUUAAGAAAGACCACACUCUCAGGUCUCAAGCCAAUACUAUCGAACCAAUUCAAAUGGGUUAGAAUAUGAAUAUUGUAUACGAAUAUUGUAUUUCAUAUGUAAAGUUAGAAUAUGAAUUCAAGAUCUCCGAUUUAUGAACUUUAAGAGGUAAAUUUCUAAUCAUAAAACUACUCGAAAAAUAUAUAAUUUUUAAAUUAGAAAUAAUAAGAAUUUAUAUAUGAAUAUUGUAUUGCAUAUGUAGAGUUAGAAUAUGAAUUCAAGAUCUCCGAUUUAUGAACUUUAAGAGGUAAAUUUCUAACUAUAAAACCAAGACACGCCCNNNNNNNNCCCCCCCUCCCCCCCCCCCUCAUUUACAUACAUACAUAUACAUAAUAUAUUAUAUGAUACAUAUUAAUUAUAUCAUAUAUAAUUAGUAUAUUUUAAUUUAUAAUUAUAUUAUAUAAAUAAGAAUUUUAUUUAUAUUGUCGAACAAUUAUAAGUGUAGGAUAUAACCAUUUAAUUAAAAAUUUAGUUGGUUUAAGUGGUAAGAGUUUUGAGUCCUUUAAGUAAGUGGUCAAAAGUUUGAUAUUUGGCUCUUGUGUAUGAACAAAAUCCAAUCGAGGGAAAAACUCAUUUUUUGUGCCCACAUAUUCCCCCGAUGUGAUUAGUCAGUCAUCGUUAAACUAACAAAGAUGAGUUUCGUAUCGUAAAUAUAACAUGAUAACAAAAAAAUUACAUAGACAAUGUAACAAAAAAUAAUCUCUAUAAAUAAAUUAUUCAUUUUUAUUAUCUACUAUUUUUCGGUCCCCAAUAUGAUAAGUUUCUGAAUCCGUCCAUGUAUAAAACUACUCGAAAAAUAUAUAACUUUAAAAUAGAGUCUAUAUAUGUAGUGUGUUGUUCAAUAUUAAUGCCAUCUCCUAUGCAAGCUUUAUAUGAAUUCUUAUUAUUUUCUUAUGGAAGUUUCAUGUUACUUAUUAGGCAGCCCAAAGGUGCUUCCAAAAGAAAAAGGUGGAGGUUGACACGUGAUAUCCCUUUCAUAUCACGUGACAAGUCGUUUUCUUACCCAUCUGGAUUAGUUUGAGGAUACCCAGAACAUAUCCAAAUCGAUAAUAUAAGUCCUUCAUUUUUCUAGUAAUUACAUAACUUGACAUAUAAUCAACUGACCACUUAUCAAGCCUCCAAACACAUCGUGAUCAGUUUUUUGGUACAAUACAACAUGAUCAUUUUCAUGAUUUCAUCACAAAAAAUAAAUAAAUAAAAACAGCAUUAUUUUGACCAAAAAAAUAUAUAAAUUUUAAGAAUAAAUGAGUUUAAAUAAGUUGGUAGGAACAUCGUAUUAUAUAUUCACGAGGAGAUGUUCGAUUACCGGACACUCUAUUUAUACAAUUUUAAGGUGAAAUUUUUAGCCACUAAACAAUUUGACAAAAAUAAAUAUCCAUUCAUUUUCCAUGAACACAAUUUCAUUUUACUUUUUUCAUGGAUCAAAUUGGCAAUCUAACUAUUAUAAACGACUUUACCUUUAUGUCAAAACAUAAAAUAAACGACAAUACUCAGAUUUUAAGGGAGUGAUUACGCCGAGAUUAAAAUUUAAAUUCUCCUUCACAAUUUAUUUUUAAUUAAAUUUAUUAACCAUUUUCUUUAUAAGCAAAAUAAUAUUAUUAAAAAGAGUAUAAGAGGUAUUCUAACCCAUAUAUAAAGAGGAAGAUCUGAACCCAGCAUCAUAGCAAGAUAAACUAUCCACCUUCUAUAAAGGGUUGCGGAGUUCCGCCAAAUCAUGUGCUCGAAAGUCGGACAAAAAUCAACACUGCAAACAGUCUACAUGAUUACAAUCAAAUAUACAAAAAAUCAUCAAAGUGUUUUGACAGUGAUAAACCUGCUACCAAACAAAGGCACCCAAAUUAGCAUCAUGCCACCCAUACCAUGUCAAACAAAUGAUAGCAUCCUCCAAACCAAAACCAGUGCACGAUGAUAGUCCCACCAGAUCAAUAAAUCAGUGCAAAAUCAAAAGAAAGAAAAUUGAAGACACUAAAGAGGAUUAAUACAUCAAUUAUAGUAUAAAUAAUCUAUUUUGCGACCUGCUCUACCACUAAAUCAAAGUCACAAGAUGAAUUUAAUAGAAUCCACCAUCGCAAAGUAGUCCGUCGUCGCUCCUCUAAACAAGAUAUUAUUCCUCAUACGCCAAAUUUAUUAACCAUUUAAAUUCAACCACUUUAGAUAAUAUGUAAAGAUUGAUACUAUAUUGAACAUUUGACCAACAUGAGACACAAAGUUCGAUUUUUGAUAACGGCAGAGACCAAUUUUUUUUUUUUUGGAUUUUCCCUCGUCGAUCGAUUUUUAGUGGUGCUCCUAUUUCUUAUUCAAUUUGUUUUUUGAAAAAUUUCUUAAUAUUUGAACUAGACUAGACUAUAUGGCAGAGAGCCAGAGACCAAUUUUGAUAUAACGGAAAAAAUAGAAUUUUUUUUUUACCAUAAAUAAAAUGUAGAGAUUAUUCUUAACUAUAAAAAAAAUAUAAGGAAUAAAAACAUAUUUAACCUGGUGCUUUAUGCAUUUUAACCGAAUCAAUGAAUUUUGUCUUAUUUUAAUUAUCUUUCCUCUAUGCUUUGUUAGAUAGGUUUUAAUGGUAAAACCAACAAAAAAAAUAGUUUUUAAUGUCUCUCUUAGAUUUAGCAUAGUUUUCAUAGGUUAUAUAUUUGGUAAGAUUUACAACCUAUGAUCAGUUUUCCUUUUGUUUACUCGACCCUUGUUAUCGAAUAGUUAAAAUACAAAGUUCAAAAAAUACUACUCCAUCUGUUCAUUAAAUAUAUAUACUACUCAAUUUUCAUAUUUUUUAUAAUAGAUAAUUAAAUAUAUAUUAGUGAUCAAAGUUGUACAUCAACAUAUAUGCGUAAUGAUCUAAAAUGACACCUAAAAAGGAAUGGAAGAAUAGUAAUGAGUUUGUUCAAGUAGCAAGAUAUUAGCUCUUAAGUAUGUGAUCAAGAAUCAAAUCUUUGACUCUUGGUCGAUAUUUUCAUCAGAAAUUAAUUGUCGUAUUUAUAAUAUAGUAAAAGAAAAAUACAAAUUUAACAAUAAGAAAAAGUUGAAAUUGUUUUUAACGUCAAACCAUAUUGGUCGAUAUUUUUCAAACCUUGGUUUAUAUAAAAAAAAUGACUCAAUAAUUAGUUACCUCUGAUGCCUAGUCCUUUUCAUGGCAAGUUUCAUACUCGUUCAACCGUUGUCUGGUGUAUAUAAUUCACUAAAGUAUAUUACGUUAAACAAAGGCAACCAAAUUUAAUCAAUUUUUUGUAUUCUUUUUAAUUAUUUUCUUCAUUGUCACUUCUCCGAUAAUGCUCUAAGAUAUUGACAUUAGACAUGGACAUCUACCAAUAAAGAAAGAGCCUCCUGGCAAAGUUUCUUUUACUUGUCAACUUAUAAUUUCUAUGGUCUAGUUUGGAUUGUUUGAAAAAGCAUGCUCUAGUUUGAAUUAAUUCAUACUAGUAUUUAUAAAAAAAAAAUUAUAGUUUCUCUUUCUCAUGCGACAAAAAUAUUUCUAAGUUUGUUUUAAUUUUGACAAUUAUGAACAAAUUUUUAUAAGGUUAGUAAAAAAUUAUGCAAAAAGUAAGAUAUAUACACUAAGCUAUUUUCAGCUUAUAUAAAUACAAAGAGCUAUUAUGUUUUUUUUUAAAAAAAAAUUAUAAUUAUGAUAACAUGUUUUAAUCUUUUUUUUUUCAAAAAACAUUUAUGGAUAAGUUAAUUGAAAGAAAAGUUCUAAAAUUCUUAUGGAUAAGUUAAAUGUUCUGGAAAGCCUCAUGGUCCAGCAAUUUAGAACAGAUAUUCUGGCCACUAAAUUUCUAUUGACCCAUCUUUUUGGUUCUAUGAAAUAAAUACACAACUAAUAAUGCAUGGUCAUGAAAUAGUAUAACAAAGGAACCCGUGCGGUCUCUGUGCAUGUUUUAUGAUCAAUAUGAAUUGUCAACUACUACUAGUCUACUACUACAAACUAUAGUCUUAUCUGCUUAUCUUUGUCUUUUUAUUUAAUAUUUUUGGCUCAAUUAUUUUUGGCUCGAUUAGAAAUAAGGAGACACUUGAAAAUCUAUUUAGCAUGAGAGUAUGGAGUAUAACCCAUUAUAAUGCUAGCAGCCACCACAUCAUUAAGGGCUUUUUGAAGCCACCGCGUCAUCAUUAUUCAAAAGCUGAAGGACUUUUUUUACUUUACUUUGGUAACAGUGAUUUUUCAUGUCUCAUAUGAUGUACAUUAAUUCCUCCGUCCCAAAAUAAUUGUCACAUUUUAUUAUUUCAUAUUUGUCGAUGUACAAUUUUGAUCAUUAAUAUUUUUAGUUGUGUAUUAUUAAAAAUUAUGAAAAAAUGAUAUUUUGAUAGUACUCAUCGAAACAAAUAUAAUAAGAUUAUGCUAAUAUUUAUAUUUAUACAUUAAUAAAAAAAAUAUGGUCAAAAUAGCUUGUAUGAAUAGUAAACACCAAAUUAAACGUGCAUAAUUUCUAAAACACCAAAUUAAGUUUUAGAAAUUUAGCUGGAGAAUAUCUAACAUUGUUAAUUGAGUCAGAUUUUAGGAUUAUUUUUUUUAUCUGUCAACGAAUUGGUGUGGGAGUUUUAGUAGUACUUGUUACUUUGUCUACAACAAAAAAAAUGUAUGCAUUCGUAAGGCCUAGAUUAAUUGAGAAAUGUCGAUAUUGCUAAGGCGGGAGACAAUAUAAUUUCUUACAAAGGAAAAAUAAAAAAUACAAAUGAAAGUGUAUUAGCAAAAGUGGGGUGCGAAAUCCGUUCCAGAUUUAAUUUCUACUCCUGAUCACAAAGCCCAAAACCAUCACUUGCUAAACAACUAAGGUAGCUGCGUCAAAAAAAAAAACUAAGGCAGCCCAAUACACCCGACCUAGAAAUAUCAUGAAUUUUUCUCUUUCCACCAGAUAUUUCUUUUUUACCCCCAAAAUGCAGAAAAUUUCAAAAAAUAUUUUUCGAUUUUUUUUGCAUGUUUAGGAGGUAGAAAAAAAAUGUGAGGGACGGGAAGAAAAAUUGUCAAAUAUCAAUCACCUUCGGCCACCCACGAUCGUAUAUCAAUCAAACCUCAUGAUAAGCGGUGAAAUUUAAAAAAUCACAAUGAGACAAAUAAUUUUGUAAAAUGUAAAGUUUGUCAACGUUGAAGUGUUUCACUUGUUGGUUUAUUGAUGAUUGGCGCUAGACUUGGUAGAGAGGAUCACAGUUCGAUCCCCCGCAACUGCGAUCAGGAAGGGGUUGAAACGACUUGAGCAAAAACUGACAUUUGAACUAAAUUAGGCGUUACUGUGGACUGGAUACCGAUAGUAAAAACUAUAAAAAAUAAAAUAAAAUAAAGUAGAUAAUUCACUUUAAUAUAUUAAGUGAGAGUAAAGUCAAUAAUUAAAUACAUACUAAUACUAACAUAAAUCAUGAAUUUAUUUAUUUUGAUAAAAUAAAAUCAUGAGUUUUUUUUUUCAUUACUUUAACAACUCUUAAUUUUAUCACUUUAUAAUUUACAUUAUUUCAUUAUUCAUUGGUGAGACAUACUCUAUCCCUUCAUAAUUUAGGGAUAUUUAUUCAUCAAUCAAUGAAAACAAUCCACAUAAAUUGAUUUGCACGUGAUACCCACAACUAACUUGUAACAAACUUUUGGAUUUGUAUAUGGCUUGUUCUCAUUGGUUGAUAAACAGAUAUCCUCAAAUUAUGAAGGGAUGGAUUAGAAAAACCAACAUUUUAGAUAAUCUAAAUCAUUAUCUGAUCUACUCAAUUUUGCUAUUCAUCCAAACAUACAUGUAGUACUUUUCUUUUAGUUGUGAUAUUUAAUUCUCCUGAUUCCGGCCUCCAGGUACGUACCUUUUCAAGAGUGGUAAAAAAAUAAAUUAUUAUGCAAUUGAAAAUGUUAUAAUCCAGAUAUUGGCCUUGUACUAUGAAACAUGGUGCGCUAGAAAUAAAAAAUAGUUUGAAGGAACUGAUGUUGAACUAUUACUCAAAAGGCACAAAGAUCCAUCUCUAUUUUUAAGAAUGCUAGUGGAGUGAUGUUGGAGAUGUGAAGUGAAGGUCCAAAUAUGCUAAUAUGUGAUGUUCAUUAUACAACCUUACCUAGUGAUUAUUAUAAGUUUAAUGUUGAUGCAAUAGAUAAAACGGAUGUAUAUGAGGUAUUGGUGGUGGUGUUGUGAGAGAUGUUGAUGAUGUCGUGAUUGCUGCUAGUUGUUGUAUGUCAUUUCAUUACCAGAUUCAGAAGCUAUAACUAUGUGGAAGAGUUUGAAAUUUGCAAAAUUUUAUAGCAAAAUCAGAUGUUUCAAAUAUGGUUAUGAGUUAUGACACUCAAUAGUCGUCAACAAUCUCUCCUUACUAGAUAUAUCAACUUUACAAUAAAUCUAAAAAGUAAAUUUUUUCUUAUAUAAGACUGUAGGGAGUAUGUUGGUUAUAUUAUUAAAAAAUAUAUUAAUUUAAUGUUUAAUUUCAUACUUUAAAUUUUGUUCAUGUUCGGUUGUAGACCAACCAAACAUUUAUGCAAUUAUGUGUCUUUCCUCUCUAAUCCUCCCUUUCGUCGGCAUAAUCCAAAUAUAUCCACCAACAAGUAACCUCACACGCCAAUUUCUCAGUGUUUUUACGCUCACUUCUAGUCCGUUUGGUUGAGCGGAAAGAAAGAGGAAGAAAUGAAAAUUAUGAAUUUCAAUGGAUGAACUUUGACUAUAGUCCAAAUUCAUCCAUUAGAAUCCGUAAUUUUUUUUUCCUUCCUUUUUAUUUUCGUUCAACCAAACGAAGCCUUCAUCUUUGUGUCUAAUAAUACCGCUAUCAAUCAAUGUCACUUAUUUAUGUAAGAUUUAAGAGUGCAUCUUUUUUGUUUAAUUUUUACCACUACAAUAUAACUACUGCCAACAUUUUCCACAGUUUGCCGCCAUACACAUUUUGCCUAAUUAACUAUUCACAAUCACAUGCCACAGUAUUCAGAAUAAUUGUAAGCAAUGCUUGGUGAUGAAUGAUUCUUUAUUCAAUCGUAAGCUCAUAUGCAUACGCAAUAAUUCAAUUAUGUCACCUAACUUUUUUUUUAUGUUUUACUACUAUCAUGCAAGCAAGAAUAAGAUUCACCGGAUCUUGUCAAAUUUAAUUAUGGUCACAUCUAGCAGGGUAGAAAGAAUACCAUGACUGAUAUCAGUUCCAAUUUUCUUACUGUCACAAUGUAACACCCACCGGCAUCACACUAUGUAACGAUUUAAUUAUACGCAUAAAUGAAAAGUCAGGGAUGAAUUAAAGUAUAAAUUAUUGAUGGUUGAAAGGUUUUUUUUUAAUUUUUUAUUUAUAAGUUCAGGGAAAAGAAAAAACGACCACAACAAAAUUAAACGUGAGGUAGUGUUCCUCAAUCCCCAGUCACAAACAAAAUCUUAAUAUGACUCGGACAAGAUUUAUAAAAGAAAUGAGAGAAAAAUAGAAACUUAGAAGAAAUCGCGAUAAGAGGGUGUAAAUAAUAAAUAUGAGCUGGUGUAUAGUGUAGUAAUAAUUAUGUUGGGCUAAUAGGAAAGAAAAGAGUGGGGAGUGUGAGCAUUAGUAAAGGAGCGAGUGUAGAUGAAAUUUUGUCUAAAGAAGGAGUUAUUAUUAUAUGGUCAUGAGACCAAGAAAUUAAAUUUGAUUACACACUCAAACACAGCAAAUAAUUUAAUCAUUUAAAAAAUUAUAUAUUAUUUUAUUAUUAAUUUUUUUACAUUUAUUUUUCUUGUGUGUGUAACCAAGAAUGUGGUCCAAAUUUUUGGGUCCAUGGAAGAAUAUCUCAGAAAGAAGAUUAGUAUGAAAAAUAAAAGAGAAUCAAUUAGGAGAUACUCCGCCUAGGUCCCAAAUUGAGUAAUAUAGUUGACUGUUUCACGCAUGCCGAUGCAUAACUUUGACGAUUAAUUUUUUAAUUAUAUUAUAGUAAAAAUUAUAAAAAUUUGAUAUUUUGAAAAUACUCUUCGAGACAAAUCCAACAUCUUAUAUGCUAAUAUUUAUUUUUAUUUAUUAGUAGAAAAAUAUGGUUAAAAUAAUAUGUGUGAAUAUUGCAAUAUAGUCAACUGUGUCACUCAAUUUGAGACGGAGGGAGUUUUUUUUUNNNNNNNNNNNAUAAAGCCCAAAAAAAAAAAAAGAAACUACAACGCGACUAGUCGGGGGAAGGAAACACCUCUAUUAUCAUCGUCUAGCACUUGCAUCAAGUUAGUAGGCGGUUGGUGGUAGAUCAAGGUUCUAUGAUUAUGAACACACCCCAUAUUAGCGAGCAUAUCCGCGCAUCAGUUUGCUUCUCGAUAAAUAUGACCGCCCAUUUGUUUGUUGAUUUAUCAAUUAGGAAUAAAUUUGAAAAAAUUAGCGGUUGAACUAGUUUAUAAGUAUAAAAUGACAUAAAAAAAUAUAUAUGUUUAAUUUAAUUAAUAUUUAAUGUUUUUCAAGUAAGAUUGUAAGGAUAAAUUUGGAAGGAAAAAUGAUAAAUUAUAAGCUCAUAAGCUAGUUGAAAAAAUGUUUGAAAAUUAAGUUAUAAGCUCUUUUUUAAUAAUGUUUACCAAACGUUUUUUUUCUCUUCAUAUGAGUUUAUAAGCUAUAACCUCAAAAUCAAACCUUACCAAACAAACAAAGUAUAAUUAUCAACAUAGUAUCAGUUAUCCUUUAUUUUUACCAAACAAAUACCUUAAUUUAUUUCAAAUCUUUUUACAUCAUGUCAUUUAUCUUUAUUUUUUAUUUUUAUUUUGAUUUACUACUACAUGUUUUGCUACACUUGCUCCCACAGUGUGUUGAAUGAGUGUGAAAGUAAUGAUUUUUGAGAAACGAGAGGGUCCCCUGAUUUUACUCCAAACAAUACGCAAUGUGAGUUCAUGAUUGCUUCUUUAGCUCAAAUGAAUCUUUAAAGAAUAACCACUUCAAGACUCAAUCUCUUUAACUCUCACUCUCUCUCUCUCUCUUCUCCACAACUACUAUAUAAAUGCAUCACCUUCUCAUUGCUCUCUCAACUUCAAGUCAUAUAUGAAGCAUUGCAACAACAUUAGUUCACUCAUUGUUGGGUAGGUCUUGUUGGAGAAGCAGGGCACGUGCAAACAUAGAUCUCUCUCAAAGUUUCGAUCUCAUUCUGCACGUGCUCCACUUUUCCAACUUGAUUUCCCCACCAUCUUUCUAACUGCAACCUCAAGUAAGUAGCACAUAUAAUCCACGGUCUCAGGUAAAUUAAACAAGAAAUAAUUAUGGUUUUAUUUUAUCUCCUACAUAUCACUUUUAUUUAUAAUGUAUACACAAUUUCUACUACUGAUAAUGGCUCAUUUGUUAUAGGAUCAUAUAUAGGAUUACUAAUUAUUCUAUCUAUGUAACAAGUAGUACUAAUUGAGGUGAUGGUUGCAUUGCAUGUACUUUAUUUCACUCUAUUUACUGUUUGAUGAGACAGUGUUACCUUCAGAAACAGAGAUUUUUUUGUUUUAUACAGGGCUAAUGUGAAGUACUAAUAAUGUAUGUAUUGCAAACUGGAACUAGAAGCAGAGCUCAGAAGGAAUGGUUUGAACACAGUUACAGAGAUCUAUUUUUGUUUCAGACUUAGCUGAACAAUCACUCUUAGACACAAAGUGCUAUUUUAUGCAUGAUACAUUAGGAAAAUACUGUUAACAUUAUUUGACAUGUAAUUAUGUAAAAUAUAGUAUACUACUAUAGUAUAGUAUAGUAUAGUUUUUUUUUUUUUUUGAACAGCACUAUAGUAUAGUAUAGUAUUUGUAUUUCUAGAUAUGUAUUUUGAUUUCUGUCCCACCCGUUACAAUGUGGAAAGGAUCCUGUGUCUAUCUCAACUAUCUUUAUAUUUGAAACUGUUAUUAAAUAGUUUAAAAACAAUCUCAUAUUGCAGCAUGUGAUAAUAUGCUCACAAGUUACAAGAAUGAUAAGGAGAUAACAUAAACCUCGAUGGUGUAUGCUUAUUUUUAAUGUUUCUCCCUCUUUUCCAAGAUAACGUUCAUCUUGGAUUUUUUUAAAACAGAUUAAGAAAAAUUAUACAUUAAACAAAUUAAAAUUAUAUACGCAUCAUUAAAUAAAUUAAGUUUUAACUUUUAAGUUUAUCUCUUAAAAUGAGGGACUACGAGUCCAGUGAAGACAAUUCCAAUGAGUAGAACACUUUGAAUGCGAUUCACCAAAAAAAAAAAAGAACACUUUGAAUGCGAUCCCUCCUUUAUUAUAAAAACAGCGCUUAUAUUUUGUUCCUUAAGAACAUACGUCAUUGUAGUGUUUUCACUAUCAUGGAGAGCAUCUCUAAUAUGAAGGAUUUUUGUAGCAUGGAGGUGCAAGGCAUUAUCUCAUCCUGCUUUAAAUAAUUCAACAACUUUUAAGCAAACACUCUCACAAACAAUAUAUAUUAUUAUAACAUUUGUUGGGACAAAAUUUAAGUUUCAUCUGAAUCGCACGCAACUCAGCUAACAAAAAUCUCUAAAAAAUUAGAAACUAUUAUAAACACCUUUUCAUUAAAAUCAUUUUUAAGAGAUACCUUUUUUAAAAAACUUAUGAUUUUUAUUAAGUUAAAAUCUCUAAUAUGAAUAUUUAAGUUAUUGAAUUACAAAAUCACUAUUUUAAUUGAUAAAUAAAUGAAUUUAAAUAACUUUUCUUAUUUUUAACUAACCUAUCAUAAUUUUUUUAAAAAAAUAUACAGAAAAAAUCAUCUGUUUUAAAGCUCAAACAAACACACCUUAUAUCACUAAAUUGGAACCUCAUUUUUUAAGACAUAGAUAUCUCACUUUAUCAAUAUUUUAAAAAGGUUCACGAUGCAAAUUCUAUCUCUAAAUUAAUCCUAUCUCUGACUUUAUGACUUUAUUGAAUAUCGAGCAUGGACCAUUGCAUACGACGAGUGUAAGUCUGUAAAAUUCUAUCUUUUCGUAAUCGAAACUGACCGAACAAUCAUUAUGAUGAUAUUUUUUUUCCUUCUCUCUAUCUAUCUCUCAAUCUCGUAUACUAUUUGCUUUGUUUUCUUAUUCAUCUUUGAUAUAGAAGAGAAAUGUUAUAUUUUACCAGCUUAUAAUAACUUAUCCAUUUUACCAGUCACCCAUAUGACAUGAAACCCAAAUAAACCCAAGAUGUAGACGGGCGAAAGUGGAUUCAAAUUAAAUAAUUGUAGUUUUUAUCGAUUUGAUGAUUUUUUAUCCAAACCCAAUAAAACCGACCGAUGCUCAUGUCUAUAGCCAACUAUAUAGACAAUUUCAUUUAUAUAUUUUCAAUGUCUACUUUUUUUACUAUCGAGCGUGAUAUUUUUACAACUUUACUCGCACUUAUACACUAAUAAUUUCUUUUAGUAGUAUAAGAUAUUAACAAAUAUCCUAAAAACACACGUGUUAAGGAAUAAAUAUCCUGAUUUUAUUUUAAAAUUUACAUUUAAAAAUACAAUUUUUAAAAUUCAAAGAAUCAAAUACACGAUUUCUUUGAUAAAAUUUCAAUUUUUAGUUUCUUAAGUUGUAUCCUUUUUUUGUAAAGUUGGAAAAGAAAAAGUUUAAUCCCAAUGACCAUAGCUUAAUUAACAGAGACAUUGCAAAUAUGGUAGAGACUGAAGUUACUCUGAUACUUCAAUUUAUUCACCUUUAAAAGGUGAAAUUAUAAUCAUUAGGUUACUUGACAAAAACAAAUUAUAUUAUUUACAACUAUUUCUAAGAGAUUCGAUUUCAACGUUUUGAAAUUAUAAAGUUAAACUUUUACCACAAAAUUUUAAUUCAAAUGUUGUUUUUUAAAUUUGAAUCAUCUUCGUGUUACUUAUCUUACCCUCGUCUCGGUCAUUCACUCUAUUUUUUUUUCUCUCUCUCUUUAUACAUUAAUGAACCGCUGGAUUAGAAAGGAAAAAAAAAGAGCUGAACACUCUUUCUUUUGUUAAACUUUUGACUUAACCAUUUAAAGUGGUUGUUGACCAAUACUAUAGUGACUCAAAAGAUGAUGCAAUGAAGUGUACUUGAAUUUCCAACAGAGAAAUUCUUAGGCAGAGAGACAGGGUUGGACNNNNNNNNNNNNNNNNNNNNNNNNNNNNNNNNNNNNNNNNNNNNNNNNNNNNNNNNNNNNNNNNNNNNNNNNNNNNNNNNNNNNNNNNNNNNNNNNNNNNNNNNNNNNNNNNNNNNNNNNNNNNNNNNNNNNNNNNNNNNNNNNNNNNNNNNNNNNNNNNNNNNNNNNNNNNNNNNNNNNNNNNNNNNNNNNNNNNNNNNNNNNNNNNNNNNNNNNNNNNNNNNNNNNNNNNNNNNNNNNNNNNNNNNNNNNGGGCUGACCCAUUAGCCCAUAUGGGGUCAAGUCGGGCUCGUUAGUGUGUGACCUAAUAAUAAUAAUUGGGUGGGGCCAGUUUGACCCACUGGCCGGACCGACCCGUUUGACCGCUCUAGUUUUAUUAAGCAAUGAAAAUGUUAUUCUAAUAUGAUAAUUCAACUCAAUGAGACUUUAUUUUGUGGUCCAAAAGUGAAUUAGUGAUGAACAAAAAAGUUAAAAUCUCAUGAUGAAUAAAAUAAUUGAGAUUGAAUGUAUAAAUUUAAUGUCUUAAAAGUUUUGACUAAAAAUGUAUGGUCUAAACACUUGUAUAAUUGCUCUUAAUACAUUGUAGUAUUGAUCUAAGUGAGACUUUUUAUCGUUACCCAACAAUAAUUUUUUCAUGGCCCGGUUAUUUCAUUUUAACUAAGUGUGAGCACUAUAUUAUUUGCUUAUUACUAGUACCUAGCAAAAACAAUUUGAUACUAGUUGGUUGUUUGUAGAAAUCUUGUAAUGACUUGUUUAUUUUGUUUUGAUAGAAGCCGUUUGUAAUUUGGAUAUGCUUGGUAACACCACAUUUUAAGUUUAUGGUUUAUAAUAUUGUCAAAAAAAAAAAAAAGUUUAUGGUUUAUAACAUUACUCUUAUAACUUAUAGCUUAUACAUUUAUAUGAUAAAAUUUGUUUGGUAAAGUUUUUCUCUCAUGAGCUUUUAACUUAUUUUUACUAGCUUAUACUUAAUAACUUAUAACAUAUUAUUUUUUCGUUCAAUUUUACUUCUCACAUAUUACUUGAAAAAAAAUUAAAUAUUAAUUAAACAUAUCUUUUUUAUAUCAUUUCAUAUUUAUAUUAUAAGUUAGUUUGGCCGCUAAGUUUACUAAAUACUAUAAAUUCAAUCAGCUAACUUAUUUACUAUAAAAUAACUUAUAAAUUUUAUUCGCCAUAAACUAACUUAUCAAUUAUCCGCUAUAUUUUGUAUCUAAAAGAGCUAUUUACUCCCGUUAUGCAAAGUUGCAGCUUCAUGAAUGCACGGGCAGUAGUACAAUACAAUACUCGUUGCUUGAGGCAAUAGCCCCCCGAAAGACAUGGAAUCAGAAAUUGGAGACCUAAGACAUCAUCAAAACAUAUGCUUUACGUAAGCUUUUCACCUUGCUUUUUACUACUAUUUUUUAGCACAAAUUUCACCUCACCUUCAUUACCCUGUUUGGUAAAAUCCUUACUCCUAUUAAGUAGAGAAAAAUUGGAAUGAGUUAUUUCAAAGUUCAACAUCUUAUACUAUUGAUUAUCUUCACAAGCCUACGUUCUUUGAACAAACUAUAACACUAAUUGGCAUUUUGAUCGCUUAAUUUUACUAUUAUCUUCAUGCGUAGAAUUUGUAAGGAAAAAAAAAAUCCUGUGUAGAGGGUAAAAUGUCAAUUAGACUAAAAAGAAUGAAUUUUGAUUGUUUAACUAUCGAUGAUCUUUAUGGGUGGAAGAUAAAAUAUCAAUGAAACUAAAUGUAAUACUCCAAAUUGUUAAUGAUAUGAUGUAUUAGAAUUUGAUGGUUCCUCCAAUGAAAUAAGACUGGUUUUGAUAGUGGUUGUGAGCUGCAAACAAGAUGGGAAAAGGGUACCUGCAAAAGUAUUAACACUUCAACGUUCAAGUAAGUAACAACUUAAUAUGAGUAUGUAUAAAUUAAAUAAAAUGUGAAUACCUUAAGGAUGAGUGCAUAUGCGUAUAUGUAGGUGUGGAGACACAACAUGGUAUGCAUAACAACCUUGUAGGCCCUCGGAUAGUACAUCUCAAGGAGAGAUCAUUAACUAUUUUUGAUCUUUAAGAAUAAAAGCUAGAAUCUCAUUAAGCCUAAAAUCUAGAAAGAAAAAAAAAAAGCACAUCAACCAAAUUUUGCUGUUCUUGAAAACUUCAACAAAUACCUAAUCUUGAUAAAAUCAAAUGACCAAAAUUGAAACAGAAUUUUAUGCAAAUGCAGAUAAUCCAUUUAAUUAAAACUUUGCCAGUUGAUAAACUGGUAAGUUCCUUCAUAUCCUUAUCAUCUUCCUCCUGAAGAUUCUUUUUUUUUAUUAUUUAUUUUUUAUAUGUAUCUUGACUUCUCAAUUCUCAUCAAGGAAGAAACCAAAUUGUCAUGAACUCUUUUUCCUUUUCAUCAAAAUCUUCCCAUAAUGUUAAUACUCAUUGCUGUAACAAAUCUUACCACAUAAGAACGCCAAAUGUGCAUGUUUUUCUUUUUAAAUAGAAGGCAAGGCUUGGCACCAAUUGUAUUAGGUUUUUAUAUUGAUGGUUUACUAAAUUUAACCUUUGGAAAAGAAAAAAGGGAAUAUCAAGUAUCAACUAUAAACUUAUAUGCAUAAUUCUUCUUCAAAAAAAUAAAAAAUAAUUAUGUGCGUAAUUAUUGAGAGCUUAGAUUUGCUCCAUUUAUCAGAAUUUCGUUUAGGAAGAUGAAGAUUUUUUCGAUUCCUACGCCUUUUAAUUCCUUGCUUAAUGGAUGGGAACAUGCCUUCUGUGAACCUCCCCUCCGAAACUUAUUCAACCAAUUAGUCAAUCAACCUUUCCUUCCACUCUUCCUUCAGUGCCUUGUGUCUUUUUCCUUUUCAUUUUUCUGGGUUUAUUGAGAUGGUAUUGGAUUAAUAGGAAUUUGUCCAACCCUCUCAAAAAAUAAAAACUAAAUUACUCCAACCAAACAACUUUCAAUUCGGUAACUAAGUGAGCACAAUUUUUGCACAUAGCUCAUUUUAACCUUUUUAUCCUUUCUAUCGUAAAAAAAAGCUUUUUAACUUGGUACUUUUUUCUACAUCUUUUUAACUUUUCUUUACUCAUGCAUCUUUUUAACUUAGGGAGUACCUGGAGCUGGAGGCUAGAGGAAAGGAGAGGGCUUUGGAGGAAACAAGAGAUACGUAAUAGAAUAUUUUCAACUUAUUUAAAAUACUGUUUAUUUAUAAGCAAAAUAACAAGUAACAUUUAAAACUCGCAUACAACUAAUUAUAUUGAUAUUGUCAAUUUAAUUAAAUCUUAAGACCCUUAAAAGUGUGAUGAUUUGUAGAGAAUGAAAAGACAGUCCUUAUGAAAAACAAUCAUUAUGGUUUUUUUUUCCAAAGAUUAUAACAACAUAAAAUAGAGUUUGUAGAAUUUAUGUAAGUUAAUAUUAGAAUAUAUAGGACCGAUUUUGAUUAACUUAUUUUAUUUUUGAGUUUAUGCAAAUCAGCAAAUAAAUAAGUGUUCAUGUAUUAUCAUAAAUUUUUCAAGAUAGUUUUAUAAAAAAACUGUUUAUAAAAACACAAUUUUUGUUAGUGAAAACUUAUGAAACUUAUGAAAUAACAUAAAAAUUUAUUUAUUUACACAAGUUUAAAAAUAAGUCAAAUCCAAACGUCAUAACAGGCAUAUAAUUGUUCAACUUGUCUAUGAUAUUUUUGUAACUAAAUUAGAAAUAAUUGUCUCAACAGGCAUAUAAAUUUUAUUCUUGUGAUGACAAUAUGAAAUAGUAUCAAUCCUAAUAACGUCAUAAGAUGUGGAAAACUGUUCACAACAUUAAGGCUAAUUCAAUUUCAACUAGGUUCAUGUUUUUCCUAAAUAAUGAGAUGGACAAAUAUAUCGCAUGCAAUAAUCUACAACUGUCAAAUGUUACUGAAUCGGUUAAUUGUUGGAACCAUUAUCGUAAUGGGAAACAAAACACACUAGGUGAAACUUGGCUAAGGUAGAAUUACUCCACAAGUUGCAACAAAUUUAAUGAUUCAGGCAUCCCAGUGAGGGAAAUAAUCAACAGUAAGAAUGCAGAACGAAUACGGAAGUUGGGGGAUGCACAAAUACAGAAUAGGCAGCUGAAACUGAGUUCUGGUGGGAGAUGCUAAAGUUCAAAUUUAUCUUGUGAGAUCUUUAUAGUUUAAAACAAAUAAUCUAAGUCAACUCUCAAUGAUUUUGUUCGAAAGACAUUUUAAUAGAUUAAACAUGUAUGAAAUAUUUAAAAUACAACUUAUAGACCCUAUAUCGAAUCAAGGACAUGUAUAUACUGCGGACUGAACUACUCAAAUGAAAACAAGCGAGUGUAAUCUAUAAAUUUUGACCCUCACUCAAGAAAUAACACUCUGUAACUGUAUAAAACCAGGAAACAAUGCAGAAUAAAAUGCAAACAGUAUUCUGAAUUCAUAAAUAGCAACACAAAUAUUAAAUAAUCAAAACUGUUAAAUUGCAAAGCAGUCUAACACAUCAUAUCUUAAGCAAUACUUGCCAAAAGGAAAGCUAUCUCUAGGACAAAAGUGCAUACAGAGUUUUAAAGUAAAUAAAAUGAUCAUACAAUUAAUCCUCUUCCUCUCCCUCGUUCUCGGCAAUGUUGAAGUACCUCAACUCAUAGACACUCCUAUCUUUGUUUGAAGCAAUCACUCUGAGCCAGUCUCUUACAUUGUGUUUCUUCAAGUAUUUCUUUGUCAAAUACUUCAAAUAUCUGCCACAAGUUAGAUGUUAAACAAACAACCUUAGAUCAUGGAAAUCAAAAUGAAUUACAACAAAAUCAUCAAAAUAUCAAAUCAUAUCAACAUAGCCAAUUCCAGAACAUGAUAUUAUCACUAGGGUGCUAAAUUGUUAUCAUGAUUUGCAUAUAUAAAAAACAAUCAUUCCUUAAAUUACAAUUUUAGAGUACUCAUAUAAGAAAAAUCAAUUCAUCACUUUUGCGAACGAGAACAACAACAACAAUCUCAAGCAAUUUCAAUGAGUGAAUAUAACAUCAAAAGAGAAAAAUGAUGAUUAGAGCAAAGCAUUAUUUCAUGUCAUAAGUCAUAUACAAUCAUAAAAAACCUAUCCAUAAAAAUCCAACAAAGUAAUUAACUAAUAAACUCCACAACUUCAUGCCAAUUAGUUAUCUUAACUAGAAAUUCACCAAUAACAUAUAACUUAUUAAAUCAAAUCAGUGUAUAGUUCAUCGAUAAAUCAAAAUUUAGUAUAUAAGCACAACAUUAAGAUAAAAUCAUAGUUAUAAACGAUCAUUUCACCAACAUAUGACUUCAUGAACAAAAUAUAAUCAAAAUCUAUAUAAAUUCCAAGCAAAAAUAAAAAAUUACCUCUUGGAAAAGUUACUGUCAGAGGUAACAGUGAUCUUAGACUUGUCCCUGGUAACGGUGACGGAAUCACCGAGAGCACCGGCUUUACCACCGACCUUAAUCCUCUCUUGAAGAAACUUCUCAAGAGAAGCAAUGUCCAUGAUCUUAUCUUCCACUGGUUUAGCACAGUCAAUGGUGAAGGUUGCACCCUUCUUCUUUCCCUUAGCUCCGGCAACACCACCGCGACUCAUUUUUCCUUCUUUUAUGUGAAUCUCUGCAUAAACACAUCAAAAAUGAUAAAUAAAGUUCACAUGAAUUUGAUUAAAAUCGAUUAAGAUUUAAGUGUUUAUGUAAAUCUAACCUAAACAAAGAAAAUUAAGAGAUUCAGAAGAAGUGAGGGCAGAGAAGAGGUGUUUACCGGUCGAGAGAACCAGCGGCGUCAAUAGAGAUGAAAGCAGGUUAGUUUUUUAGGGUUUCGAUUUGUGAUUUUAUAUAAUGGGUUCGAGAUUGGGUUUAUCUAUUGGGCUCACCUGGUAGUUUUAUCUUGGUGCAAUUAUCGUUUUACUUUUUGCACGUGUUUGUUAGUUUAUACACCCCAUUCUGUAAUUUGUUUUAUAUAAGCUACGGAAAAAAGUAGUAUAAACUUGUAAGAGAAUAAGCAUUUACAAACAAUCCUACAUUUAUUUUUAAAUAUACGUGUAUAUAUAUAAAUUAAUUGCAUAUGAACGAAAGAUAGACGGAUAAUAAAUUGUGCCGCAAAACAUUUUUAUGUGGCAAAAUUUAAUAUUUGAAAAACUACAUUCAUAAACUCAGGCGACACAACAUUACUGCUUUCCUUUUGAACUAUUUUCAAAAGAUUUACAGCCUCUGGUGCUAGAAAGUCAAAA